rnacentral:rRNA from 1 species
UACAGAGGGGGCAAGCGUUGUUCGGAAUUACUGGGCGUAAAGGGCGCGUAGGCGGCCUCUUAAGUCGAACGUGAAAUCCCCGGGCUCAACCCGGGAACUGCGUCCGAUACUGGGAGGCUUGAAUCCGGGAGAGGGAUGUGGAAUUCCAGGUGUAGCGGUGAAAUGCGUAGAUAUCGAGAGGAACACCUGCGGCGAAGGCGGGUUGCUGGGCUGACACUGACGCUGAUGUGCGAAAGCCAGGGGAGCGAACGGG